UGGGGAAUUUUGCACAAUGGGGGAAACCCUGAUGCAGCGACGCCGCGUGAUUUAGAAGGCCUUCGGGUUGUAAAAAUCUUUUUUAUGGGUUGAAAAUGACAGUACCAUAAGAAUAAGGUCCGGCUAAAUACGUGCCAGCAGCCGCGGUAAUACGUAUGGACCGAGCGUUGUCCGGAAUCAUUGGGCGUAAAGGGUACGUAGGCGGCCCAGUAAGUUAGAAGUGAAAUAAUAUAGCUCAACUAUAUAAAGCUUUUAAAACUGCUAGGCUUGAGAGAUGGAAGGGAAAGUGGAAGUCCUAGUGUAGCGGUGAAAUGCGCAGAUAUUAGGAAGAAUACCGGUGGCGAAGGCGACUUUCUGGACUUUUACUGACGCUCAGGUACGAAAGCGUGGGGAGCAAACAGG
rnacentral:rRNA from 1 species